rnacentral:rRNA from 1 species
UACGGGGGGGGCAAGCGUUGUUCGGAAUUACUGGGCGUAAAGCGCACGUAGGCGGCUUGUUAAGUCAGGGGUGAAAUCCUGGAGCUCAACUCCAGAACUGCCUUUGAUACUGGCGAGCUUGAGUUCGGGAGAGGUGAGUGGAACUGCGAGUGUAGAGGUGAAAUUCGUAGAUAUUCGCAAGAACACCAGUGGCGAAGGCGGCUCACUGGCCCGAUACUGACGCUGAGGUGCGAAAGCGUGGGGAGCAAACAGG